CUUGUCCACAGGAUGAAAUAUUACGGAUGUAAAUUCACAGACCUGUUCUGAAAGCGCAAAAAUUUUAUGUGGAUAUCUCCGUUGCCUUCCUUCUGAUGUGACGA
rnacentral:snoRNA from 1 species